rnacentral:rRNA from 1 species
UACGUAGGGUGCGAGCGUUGUCCGGAAUUAUUGGGCGUAAAGAGCUCGUAGGCGGCUUGUCGCGUCGGACGUGAAAGCCCGAGGCUUAACCUCGGGUCUGCAUUCGAUACGGGCAGGCUAGAGUGUGGUAGGGGAGAUCGGAAUUCCUGGUGUAGCGGUGAAAUGCGCAGAUAUCAGGAGGAACACCGGUGGCGAAGGCGGUUCUCUGGGCAUUACCUGACGCUGAGGAGCGAAAGCAUGGGGAGCGAACAGG